rnacentral:rRNA from 1 species
UGGGGAAUCUUGCACAAUGGGGGCAACCCUGAUGCAGCGACGCCGCGUGAGCGAUGAAGCCCUUCGGGGCGUAAAGCUCUUUCGACCGGAACGAUAAUGACGGUACCGGGAGAAGAGGCUGCGGCUAACUACGUGCCAGCAGCCGCGGUAAUACGUAGGCAGCAAGCGUUGUUCGGAGUUACUGGGCGUAAAGAGUGCGUAGGCGGUUUUCUAAGUUCGGUGUGAAAUCUCCCGGCUUAACUGGGAGGGUGCGCCGAAGACUGGGAAGCUGGAGUGUGGGAAAGGCAGGCGGAAUUCCUGGUGUAGCGGUGAAAUGCGUAGAUAUCAGGAGGAACACCGGCGGUGUAGACGGCUUGCUAAACCAUAACUGACGCUGAGGCACGAAAGCGUGGGUAGCAAACA